GCAGUCGUGGCCGAGUGGUUAAGGCGAUGGAAUAGAAAUCUGUUGGGGUCUCCCCGCACAGGUUCGAAUCCUGUCGACUGCA
rnacentral:tRNA from 2 species